UCGAGGGGUAUAGGAAGCUUGCUUCCUAGAGACCGGCGCANGGGUGCGUAACGCGUAUGCAACCUACCUUUUACAGGGGGAUAGCCCAGAGAAAUUUGGAUUAAUACCCCAUGGUAUAAUUGAAUGGCAUCAUUUAAUUAUUAAAGUUCCAACGGUAAAAGAUGGGCAUGCGUCCUAUUAGCUAGAUGGUAAGGUAACGGCUUACCAUGGCUACGAUAGGUAGGGGUCCUGAGAGGGAGAUCCCCCACACUGGUACUGAGACACGGACCAGACUCCUACGGGAGGCAGCAGUGAGGAAUAUUGGACAAUGGGCGCAAGCCUGAUCCAGCCAUGCCGCGUGCAGGAAGAAGCAUCUAUGGUGUGUAAACUGCUUUUGUACGGGAAGAAACACUCCUACGUGUAGGAGCUUGACGGUACCGUAAGAAUAAGGAUCGGCUAACUCCGUGCCAGCAGCCGCGGUAAUACGGAGGAUCCAAGCGUUAUCCGGAAUCAUCGGGUUUAAAGGGUCCGUAGGCGGUUUAAUAAGUCAGUGGUGAAAUCUGGUCGCUCAACGAUCAAACGGCCAUUGAUACUGUUAGACUUGAAUUACUAGGAAGUAACUAGAAUAUGUAGUGUAGCGGUGAAAUGCUUAGAUAUUACAUGGAAUACCAAUUGCNGAGGCAGGUUACUACUAGUG
rnacentral:rRNA from 1 species